rnacentral:rRNA from 1 species
UAGCUUGCUACUUUGCCGGCGAGCGGCGGACGGGUGAGUAAUGUCUGGGAAACUGCCUGAUGGAGGGGGAUAACUACUGGAAACGGUAGCUAAUACCGCAUGACCUCGAAAGAGCAAAGUGGGGGAUCUUCGGACCUCACGCCAUCGGAUGUGCCCAGAUGGGAUUAGCUAGUAGGUGAGGUAAUGGCUCACCUAGGCGACGAUCCCUAGCUGGUCUGAGAGGAUGACCAGCCACACUGGAACUGAGACACGGUCCAGACUCCUACGGGAGGCAGCAGUGGGGAAUAUUGCACAAUGGGCGCAAGCCUGAUGCAGCCAUGCCGCGUGUGUGAAGAAGGCCUUAGGGUUGUAAAGCACUUUCAGCGAGGAGGAAGGCAUCACACUUAAUACGUGUGGUGAUUGACGUUACUCGCAGAAGAAGCACCGGCUAACUCCGUGCCAGCAGCCGCGGUAAUACGGAGGGUGCAAGCGUUAAUCGGAAUUACUGGGCGUAAAGCGCACGCAGGCGGUUUGUUAAGUCAGAUGUGAAAUCCCCGCGCUUAACGUGGGAACUGCAUUUGAAACUGGCAAGCUAGAGUCUUGUAGAGGGGGGUAGAAUUCCAGGUGUAGCGGUGAAAUGCGUAGAGAUCUGGAGGAAUACCGGUGGCGAAGGCGGCCCCCUGGACAAAGACUGACGCUC